rnacentral:rRNA from 1 species
AACGAACGCUGGCGGCAGGCCCAACACAUGCAAGUCGAACGCCGUAGCAAUACGGAGUGGCAGACGGGUGAGUAACGCGUGGGAACCUACCUUACGGUCGGGAAUAGCUCAGGGAAACUUGGGGUAAUACCGGAUACGCCGUAUUGGGAAAGAUUUAUCGGCGAAGGAUCGGCCCGCGUUAGAUUAGCUAGUUGGCGGUGUAAUGGACCACCAAGGCUACGAUCUAUAGCUGGUCUGAGAGGAUGAUCAGCCACACUGGGACUGAGACACGGCCCAGACUCCUACGGGAGGCAGCAGUGGGGAAUCUUGGACAAUGGGCGCAAGCCUGAUCCAGCCAUGCCGCGUGAGUGAAGAAGGCCUUAGGGUUGUAAAACUCUUUCGCCGGAGAAGAUAAUGACGGUAUCCGGAGAAGAAGCCCCGGCUAACUUCGUGCCAGCAGCCGCCGUAACAC